rnacentral:rRNA from 1 species
CAAGGAAUCUUGCGCAAUGGGCUAUAAGGCCUGACGCAGCGACACCGCGUGGGGGAAGAAGGCUUUCGAGUUGUAAACCCCUUUUCUUGGGGAAGAGUAAGGACGGUACCCGAGGAAUAAGCCUCGGCUAACUACGUGCCAGCAGCCGCGGUAAUACGUAGGAGGCGAGCGUUGUCCGGAUUUACUGGGCGUAAAGGGCGAGUAGGCGGUCCAUUAAGUCUUAUGUGAAAUCUCCCGGCUCAACUGGGAGGGGUCAUGGGAAACUGGUGGGCUUGAGGGCAGCAGAGGAAAGCGGAAUUCCCGGAGUAGCGGUGGAAUGCGUAGAUACCGGGAAGAACACCAGAGGCGAAGGCGGCUUUCUGGGCUGUUCCUGACGCUGAGGCGCGAAAGCAUGGGGAGCGAACCGG